rnacentral:rRNA from 1 species
GAUGAACGCUGGCGGCGUGCCUAAUACAUGCAAGUCGAGCGAACGGACGAGAAGCUUGCUUCUCUGAUGUUAGCGGCGGACGGGUGAGUAACACGUGGAUAACCUACCUAUAAGACUGGGAUAACUUCGGGAAACCGGAGCUAAUACCGGAUAAUAUUUUGAACCGCAUGGUUCAAAAGUGAAAGACGGUCUUGCUGUCACUUAUAGAUGGAUCCGCGCUGCAUUAGCUAGUUGGUAAGGUAACGGCUUACCAAGGCAACGAUGCAUAGCCGACCUGAGAGGGUGAUCGGCCACACUGGAACUGAGACACGGUCCAGACUCCUACGGGAGGCAGCAGUAGGGAAUCUUCCGCAAUGGGCGAAAGCCUGACGGAGCAACGCCGCGUGAGUGAUGAAGGUCUUCGGAUCGUAAAACUCUGUUAUUAGGGAAGAACAUAUGUGUAAGUAACUGUGCACAUCUUGACGGUACCUAAUCAGAAAGCCACGGCUAACUACGUGCCAGCAGCCGCGGUAAUACGUAGGUGGCAAGCGUUAUCCGGAAUUAUUGGGCGUAAAGCGCGCGUAGGCGGUUUUUUAAGUCUGAUGUGAAAGCCCACGGCUCAACCGUGGAGGGUCAUUGGAAACUGGAAAACUUGAGUGCAGAAGAGGAAAGUGGAAUUCCAUGUGUAGCGGUGAAAUGCGCAGAGAUAUGGAGGAACACCAGUGGCGAAGGCGACUUUCUGGUCUGUAACUGACGCUGAUGUGCGAAAGCGUGGGGAUCAAACAGGAUUAGAUACCCUGGUAGUCCACGCCGUAAACGAUGAGUGCUAAGUGUUAGGGGGUUUCCGCCCCUUAGUGCUGCAGCUAACGCAUUAAGCACUCCGCCUGGGGAGUACGACCGCAAGGUUGAAACUCAAAGGAAUUGACGGGGACCCGCACAAGCGGUGGAGCAUGUGGUUUAAUUCGAAGCAACGCGAAGAACCUUACCAAAUCUUGACAUCCUUUGACAACUCUAGAGAUAGAGCCUUCCCCUUCGGGGGACAAAGUGACAGGCGGUGCAUGGUUGUCGUCAGCUCGUGUCGUGAGAUGUUGGGUUAAGUCCCGCAACGAGCGCAACCCUUAAGCUUAGUUGCCAUCAUUAAGUUGGGCACUCUAGGUUGACUGCCGGUGACAAACCGGAGGAAGGUGGGGAUGACGUCAAAUCAUCAUGCCCCUUAUGAUUUGGGCUACACACGUGCUACAAUGGACAAUACAAAGGGCAGCGAAACCGCGAGGUCAAGCAAAUCCCAUAAAGUUGUUCUCAGUUCGGAUUGUAGUCUGCAACUCGACUACAUGAAGCUGGAAUCGCUAGUAAUCGUAGAUCAGCAUGCUACGGUGAAUACGUUCCCGGGUCU